rnacentral:rRNA from 1 species
UACGUAGGCAGCGAGCGUUGUUCGGAGUUACUGGGCGUAAAGGGUGUGUAGGCGGUUGUUUAAGUUUGGUGUGAAAUCUCCCGGCUCAACUGGGAGGGUGCGCCGAAUACUGAAUGACUUCGAGUGCGGGAGAGGAGAGUGGAAUUCCUGGUGUAGCGGUGAAAUGCGUAGAUAUCGGGAGGAACACCAGUAGCGAAGGCGGCACUCUGGGCCGUGACUGACGCUGAGGAGCGAAAGCGUGGGUAGCAAACAGG